rnacentral:rRNA from 1 species
GAUGAACGCUGGCGGCGUGCCUAAUACAUGCAAGUCGAGCGAAUGGAUUAAGAGCUUGCUCUUAUGAAGUUAGCGGCGGACGGGUGAGUAACACGUGGGUAACCUGCCCAUAAGACUGGGAUAACUUCGGGAAACCGGGGCUAAUACCGGAUAACAUUUUGAACCGCAUGGUGCGAAAUUGAAAGGCGGCUUCGGCUGUCACUUAUGGAAGGACCCGCGUCGCAUUAGCUAGUUGGUGAGGUAACGGCUCACCAAGGUAACGAUGCGUAGCCGACCUGAGAGGGUGAUCGGCCACACUGGGACUGAGACACGGCCCAGACUCCUACGGGAGGCAGCAGUAGGGAAUCUUCCGCAAUGGACGAAAGUCUGACGGAGCAACGCCGCGUGAGUGAUGAAGGCUUUCGGGUCGUAAAACUCUGUUGUUAGGGAAGAACAAGUGCUAGUUGAAUAAGCUGGCACCUUGACGGUACCUAACCAGAAAGCCACGGCUAACUACGUGCCAGCAGCCGCGGUAA